rnacentral:rRNA from 1 species
CCUUCGGGAACUCUGAGACAGGUGCUGCAUGGCUGUCGUCAGCUCGUGUUGUGAAAUGUUGGGUUAAGUCCCGCAACGAGCGCAACCCUUAUCCUUUGUUGCCAGCGGCUCGGCCGGGAACUCAAAGGAGACUGCCGGUGAUAAACCGGAGGAAGGUGGGGAUGACGUCAAGUCAUCAUGGCCCUUACGGCCAGGGCUACACACGUGCUACAAUGGCGCAUACAAAGAGAAGCGACCUCGCGAGAGCAAGCGGACCUCAUAAAGUGCGUCGUAGUCCGGAUUGGAGUCUGCAACUCGACUCCAUGAAGUCGGAAUCGCUAGUAAUCGUAGAUCAGAAUGCUACGGUGAAUACGUUCCCGGGCCUUGUACACACCGCCCGUCACACCAUGGGAGUGGGUUGCAAAAGAAGUAGGUAGCUUAACCUUCGGGAGGGCGCUUACCACUUUGUGAUUCAUGACUGGGGUGAAGUCGUAACAAGGUAAGCGUAGCGAG